rfam:TPA: Bos taurus chromosome 15, whole genome shotgun sequence.
UCCCUGGUGGUCCAGUGGCUAAGACUCCAUGCCUCCUAAUGCAGGGGGUGCAGGUUCGAUUCUUGUUCAGGGAA